UCUAAGAAAAAUAAAGACUCAUUAUCAUACAACAAAUUACAAUGAAUCAAAUAACUUUUUUUUUCUUUCUAAGUCAAACAACAAUCUACUGAUGGGAAGCUGACGAUCGUCUUUCACUCUGCAGAUCUAGGGAGGCCGACGAUCAUAGAUCAUAAAGCCAGCGGGUGUUCUUUGCUCCCCAGUCGUUUGUUCGUGAGGAAUCAUCAUCUGACAAUAAGGAUGUUGCCAGUGAAGGCGAAUUAGACAGCACCAAAACGCUUACCAGUCUUUGCUUACUACUACCAUCUUAAUUUUCUGACAUGUAGUCUGUAUAUCCAAAAUUAAAUUCCUCUAUCCCUUUAGAUUCUUACUUACCAGCUUUAUCACAUUCAUUAUUUGGUAUGCGUUCAGAGGUUAAUAUUUGAAAAGGCAGAUACUGGGUGAAGAAGAUAGUAUUGGCUAAGAAUAUUGUUGAAAUCAGUAUCACAAUUCAUGACAUGGUUUUGGUAAUUGAUUGUGGCAAGGCCAAAUGGGCAUCGCAUAUGCACUUAACAAUACUCCUUGCCUUUUUUCUGUUUGGAUAUCCAAGGUUUCUCCUAAACAAGUUCAACAUGCUAUUGAAUAUAUGAAGAUAAUUGGUGCUUUGGAUGAGAAUGAAAAUCUGGAUCUAUUGGGUAUGUUGGGUCAUACGAGUAAAUUCAUACUCUUCUAUCUGGGCUUUGCAAUAGAUUGAUCAAAUAUAAAUGUUUUAUAUUGGAUUUGAUGAGAUUUAUGACAUCAAACAAACUAUAGUUAUAUACAUUAUUGUCUAUUUUUUUUCUGAACUUUGAUUUUGUUAUUAAAAUAAAAUUUAUUGGUAUUUCUACAUGUA